rnacentral:rRNA from 1 species
UGUGCCUACGGGGGGCAGCAGUGGGGAAUAUUGGACAAUGGGGGGAACCCUGAUCCAGCGACGCCGCGUGAGUGAAGAAGUAUUUCGGUAUGUAAAGCUCUAUCAGCAGGGAAGAAAGAAAUGACGGUACCUGACUAAGAAGCCCCGGCUAACUACGUGCCAGCAGCCGCGGUAAUACGUAGGGGGCAAGCGUUAUCCGGAUUUACUGGGUGUAAAGGGAGCGUAGACGGCGAUGCAAGUCUGGAGUGAAAUGCCGGGGCUCAACCCCGGAACUGCUUUGGGAACUGUGCAGCUAGAGUGCGGGA